GAUGAAGAACGCAGUGAAAUGCGAUAAGUAAUGUGAAUUGCAGAAUUCAGUGAACCAUCGAAUCUUUGAACGCACAUUGCGCCCGGCAGUAAUCUGCCGGGCAUGCCUGUCCGAGCGUCAUUUCUGCCCUCGAGCGAGUCCAGCAUCUAGGUGCUGGGCCCGCCCGGCGUUGGGGCACUACGGGAAGCCCUGUGCUGUCCCCCGUAGGCCCCGAAAUGAAGUGGCGGUCCUGCCGCGGCGCCCCCUGCGUAGUAUAACAGCUCGCUUCGGGACCCGGUGGAGGCCUGCCGUCAAACCUUACUCUCUAAGUUUGACCUCGGAUCAGGUAGGGUUACCCGCUGAACUUAAGCAUAUCAAUAAGCGGAGGA
rnacentral:misc_RNA from 1 species